GGCAGGUGGGGACGCCACUCCCUCCUAGACCUGUACAGUCAUUCCUCCACAUCCAGCCUGGAAGUCAUGAGAUCUGCCGGCUCCCUCGCCCUGACCCUCCUGCUGGCCCUGGCAUGCUCAGUUUCAUCAAUGGAAGUGUAUACUUCGAAGGAAGUCCAGGCAGUCAAUGGAACAGAUGUCCGCCUGAAAUGUACAUUUAGUUCCACGACAUCUCUAGGAGAUGAUGUUACGGUGUCAUGGACUUUCCGCCCUUUAGCAGGAGGCAGUGAAGAGUCUGUGUUCUAUUACCACAGGGAACCAUUUCCACCAACUGAAGGGCGUUUUCUAGGACGUGCAGUCUGGGAUGGAAAUACUAAGCGCAGUGAUGGAUCUAUAAUAAUUAGGAAUAUCCAGCAAUCCUAUAAUGGAACUUACCUCUGCCAAGUCAAGAACCCUCCUGAUGUGCAUGGAGAAAUGGGAGAAAUUAUACUCAAAGUGGUUGACAAAGUGAAGUUUUCUGAAAUCAUGUUGCUGCUGUUGGUGAUUGGGGUUGGCAGUAUUGCGAUUAUCAUUCUAGUCCUGGCAGUGGUCAUGUUUCGAUAUUAUCGCAAGCAGAAGACUCAUAGCACAGCAAUGUCAGUAAUGGAAUGGGAAAAGUUAACUGAGAAGCCACUGAAUCUGACAGAGGUCAAUGCAUGACUCCAAGAAGUUCCAUCCAAGAGGAAAUGCAUGAACAAGGACAUUCCUGGCAGGGUCACCAGGUUUUUGUAGAAAUAAUUGAGUCUACCUCCAGUCCUGUGAUUCUGUAGACGACAUAACUUUUAUCACUAGAAGACAAGCAGAUGAUCUCUUCACUGGUGGAUAGCAAAGGGACCUUCUCAUAUAUCAGUGCCUGUUGGACUUGCUACAGUCUUGUUUUUACUGAAUCAGAUCUACUGUAUGAAUUUGUAUGUUAUUAAGAGUAGCAUAUAUGUGUCACAUGUAUGUAAUUAGCGUUGUGCCUGUCACAAACUUGGACAGUUCAAAUUGAACAUAUGAAAAAUCCAUUAACAGAGCUUGGCCUCACAUCCUCAUGUGUAUCCUAUUGAUCUCUGUGCGUACCCACCGUAUUUAUGGACCUGUAGGAAGGCUAUGGAAGCGAGACCAAGCUCAGCUUUUACAGAAAAAGUGUAAAUUUGUAUAUAACUUUAGCUGCCUAUAUUUGCCAGUAUGUAUCUUCUGCUUAUGUAUUUUUCCAUCAUACCUUACAAAGUGAGCAGAUUUGUUACAGGCUUUUUUUUUUUUAAACCUGAAGUGCAAAAUACCUACCUAACCAAGUGCUGUCAGCCCAUAGCUGGAAUCUCUGGGUGCCUGCAGGUCGGGUCCAUUUUUAAUUUAGGCGCCCUUGUGUCUAAAUACAUUUUGGAGCUCCAAUGUGUUGAAUGCCUGACCCCAUUCCUUUCCACUUCUAAUGCCUUGUACACAUGAUCAGAAUUUCCGAUGAAAAAGGUCCAACAGACUUUUUCCAUCUGAAAUUCCGAC